rnacentral:rRNA from 1 species
CGAGGUAACUUAGUGGCGGACGGGUGAGUAACGCGUGAGCAACCUGCCCUUGUGUCGGGGAUAACGUUUGGAAACGAACGCUAAUACCGCAUAAGACCACGCUACCGCAUGGUAGAGGGGUCAAAGAUUUAUCGGUAGAGGGUGGGCUCGCGUCCGAUUAGGUAGUUGGGUGAGGUUAAACGGGCCCACCAAGCCGACGAUCGGUAGCCGACCUGAGAGGGUGAUCGGCCACAUUGGGACUGAGACACGGCCCAAACUCCUACGGGAGGCAGCAGUCGGGAAUAUUGCGCAAUGGAGGAAACUCUGACGCAGUGACGCCGCGUAUAGGAAGAAGGUUUUCGGAUUGUAAACUAUUGUCGAUAGGGAAGAAAAAGACUGUACCUAUCAAGAAAGCUCCGGCUAACUACGUG